rnacentral:tmRNA from 1 species
GGGGCAGUAAUGGAAUCGACUUAUUGUUGAGGAAUAUGAAUUGCACGUCGAGAUACCGAUGGUCUCGUAAAACUCGGUCACAGAUAAUUGGUAACAAGAAAUCUGAUCUCUUUGCGAAGAUUGUGGAGGCAUUUGAGUCUGCACCUGCGCAAGAGUUAGCGCACGCUUAAACAAGCGUACGUCAUAUAAGUUAUGGUUGUACCUUAUAUGGCGCAAUUACAACCUGCUGUGUAGUAACUCUGGCGAGAGCCUGCAAUAAGUUUAACGCUAGGUUAUGUAUGGGUUUGCUGGUUUAGACAUACAUAGCCGAAAUUAAAGACCGGAUAUGCGUGUAGAGGUUGAUAGGAUCACCUUAAGGACGCGGGUUCGACUCCCGCCUGCUCCACCA